UAGUUUUUUUAUAAAAACUAAAGUUUUAAGCAACAGAAAUGGGUGUGGGUCCUUUAAAUAAGGAUAAAUUAAUUAAGUUACUUUAGGGAUAACAGCGUAAUAAUUUUAAGGAGUCCAAAUCUAUAAAAUUGUUUGCGACCUCGAUGUUGAAUUAGAAGAACCCCGUUAGAGCAGUUAUUACGGUGGUGGGUUUGUUCAACCUUUAUAGUUUUACAUGAUCAGAGUUCAGACCGGA
rnacentral:rRNA from 1 species